rnacentral:lncRNA from 1 species
CGAGAAGAUGAUGUUGGAUGGGAAUGUCAUUAGGUUUGGUUACUAGAGAUGGAAAAUUAGAUCCGAACUUAUUGUUCCAUGUCUGUUUUACUAUGGUUCGUCUUCCCCCUUUUUUCUUUUCUAGUUCUAGUAAGUUCAUCGAAUCUUAGUGUUUUAGGGGUUUUCCUCGCAUCGAUGCAUUCCACUUCUGUUUGAUUCUUUUCUCCUUCUAGUUUCCUGUAGUAAUUUCUCUUUCUUGCUUGAUUUUAUAUAAAAAUUUGAUUGUUAGCAUUUUUUAAACUAUUGCCUUGAUACGUCUUCUGAGAUUUCCCCUGAUCCCCGGGUUCCUUUCUCCAUGGAAGAGUUCUGGCUUAAUCCUUUUUUUUCUUGGAUGAUUUCAUCUUAAAACCGAAUUUCUUGAACAGAAAUGUUGGCAACCCCAUGAAUCUUUAGCAAGAAAAGUUUUGAAAUAAUUAAUUUAAUGCCCCACCUCCUGGUUCUUUAAAGCUGUGUCAAUCUGGUGUCUCUAUUAUAAUUCUUUUAUCAUGCUACCAGGU